rnacentral:rRNA from 1 species
CCUACGGGAGGCUGCAGUGAGGAAUAUUGGUCAAUGGACGAGAGUCUGAACCAGCCAAGUAGCGUGAAGGAUGACUGCCCUAUGGGUUGUAAACUUCUUUUAUAUGGGAAUAAAACGUUCCACGUGUGGGAUUUUGUAUGUACCAUAUGAAUAAGGAUCGGCUAACUCCGUGCCAGCAGCCGAGGUAAUACGGAGGAUCCGAGCGUUAUCCGGAUUUAUUGGGUUUAAAGGGAGCGUAGGUGGAUUGUUAAGUCAGUUGUGAAAGUUUGCGGCUCAACCGUAAAAUUGCAGUUGAAACUGGCAGUCUUGAGUACAGUAGAGGUGGGCGGAAUUCGUGGUGUAGCGGUGAAAUGCUUAGAUAUCACGAAGAACUCCGAUUGCGAAGGCAGUUCACUGGACUGCAACUGACACUGAGGCUCGAAAGUGUGGGUAUCAAACAGGAUUAGAUACCCGAGUAGUG